CAGUCACCAGCGGCAAACACACUGACACCAGAACAACACAGAGAAGAGCAGCAUGGCCUCCGUGCAAGGAUGAUGUGCAAAUUCAUAAACCAUUCCAUUUUUUG